UACGUGUCAUUUAACAAUAGUCCCUUCAUUUUCCUCAUACCUUUAUCUUUCCAUAGUCAAAUAGUGUGCUUCUAACUUUAUCUGCUUAACUCUUCAGUGAUCUCUUCCAUUUUCUUUUUGACAAUCAGUGAUCUUCUCCAUCCAGUUUAUAAUAUUAUGAGAUGAACUCAGUCGCCCAACGGUGUAUGAAGUACCGAGGAUAGUCACAUGAAAAUAUUCGUUGUCAGGUUUUAUGUCUAUCUGAAUCAUAUGUUGCAGCUGCUCCAUCAAGUCUUCUGUCAAGGAAAGAAAGUGGUCCAGACACUACUAAUUGAAGCAGGGUAUGCAAUGCCAACUUUCAAAAAAAGGCAACUUAACAACAUCUAGUUUUGAGCAAUUGUGUUAAGAGUUUGCAAUAACAACAAGCAAUAGAUGGAAAAAAGAUGCAGUAACUAAGGCUCUAGAUUGGUUGUCAGAAGGGUAUCGUUAUGUUUUUUUGCAAACAUUGUAUAGAAAAGAACCUAUAUGUUGGAAUUUCUCCAUUGAAGCCUAACUCUAAGUUGAAAGAGAAGGAAGACAGAGAAGACAAAGAUCAGAAGUAAACACUUCGAUUAAUUCGAUGUUGUUCACAAAUGGAUGAAUGGACCAAAGGUAAAUGGGCUACAACAGACUUGGGCCUCAAAACAGAUUCGGGCCUUUUAAUUCAGCACACAAGUAUGAAAGAAGAGUCUGGCCCAUGUGGAUAAAUGUACAGCUGUGUAUGUACAGCUGUGUGUAUACAGCUGUAUACAUUCUUAGAAGCUUCCUAAGUAUUGUACUGGAAUAUUUUUCUGUUAGAAUAGCAACCAAUAAUAGGUAGACAAAUAUUGCAUAGGAUUUAGCUUUUCUUUAUUUCCAAAAUUCAGUAUACAUGUAUAAAUAGAGUGUAAAAGAUACUGAUGAUAUACAAGAGAAAAUUCCCAAUACUGUUCUUCAA